CGCGUAGGCGGGGAUGUAAGUCAGACGUGAAAUCCCGGGGCUCAACCUCGGAACAGCAUUUGAAACUACAUCUCUCGAGGGUAGGCGGAGAAAACGGAAUUCCACAAGUAGCGGUGAAAUGCGUAGAUAUGUGGAAGAACACCGGUGGCGAAGGCGGUUUUCUAGCUUAUUCCUGACGCUAAAGCGCGAAAGCAAGGGGAUCAAACA
rnacentral:rRNA from 1 species